CUGCUAACCAGCCUGUAUCUUAUUUCCAGUUCAGGACCUCAAGGGACUGGGCUACGAGAAGGGGAAGCCCGUCGGUCUGGUAGGUGUCACAGAGCUGUCAGACGCCCAGAAGAAGCAGCUGAAAGAGCAGCAGGAGAUGCAGCAGAUGUAUGACAUGAUCAUGCAGCAUAAGCGCGCGAUGCAGGACAUGCAGCUGCUGUGGGAGAAGGCGCUCCAGCAGCAUCAGCAUGGCUAUGACAGUGACGAGGAAGUGGACAGCGAGCUGGGCACCUGGGAGCACCAGCUACGGCGCAUGGAGAUGGACAAGACUCGGGACUCCCUACAAGACUCCUGCCUGUGCUGUGGGGCCUCCCGGCCCGCUCCCCGCCCUCCUCCUUCCUGUCCUCACCUUUCCUGCUCUCUGGGCAGAGUGGGCCGAGCAGCUGACACAGAUGGGCAGGGGCAAGCACUUCAU